AAACAAUGUCAUGUAUAGUUGUAUGUUUCACCUUUUAAUCUUACCAUUCUCCUUUUGACUAUCUCCACCCUCCUCUUUGUCUCUGUCCCCCUUCUCCUCUGUCCUCUCUCCUUUGUCUCCUUUCGUCUCUUUCACCCUUACUUCAUCUUUUUCUGCUAUAAAUAUAAUUAUUUUUUGCUUUUAAUGUACAACACAAACAUACAUGUACCAACAACUUACCAAGUUCAUUUACCAAAAACAAAAGGCAUUAUAGUUAUCACUAUAGGGUUACACAUUCCCAACUUACCAUCAGAUGGAUGGACCUCAAUGAGGACAUCCUCUAUUGGGGCAGCCAUUACUUUUUGAUUUUGAACUUACAGUUUCAGGUGUCUUAUUUUAUAUCCUAAAGGUCACAGGUGACACUUGGUGUUCUUUGAUUGGCUGUAAAUGACGCAAUAACUUCUAUUUCGGUAUUCUCCUCCCACACAUUUUUAUCAUCAGUCCUCUCACCUGUACAGAUAAACACAAAUCACCUGCAUGAUAACUUCGUGACUAACUUUCUCUCGGGCCUUCUCUUUUGAGUUAGUGGUUCUAGAGAUUGCCUUGGAGAAUGUGGUACUUCAAUCUCCAUUGCGAGGUCUGGUGGAUCAUCUACACCUGGAGUUGAUUGUCGAGAUGAUCCUGUUAGUCGAGGUGCAUCAGGAAGUGGGCAGGUUACAUCUUUACAUUCGUAUCUGCAAAAAGGUCUUAUCUUUUCGUAAAGGUACCAUUUCCUUUCAGUUGACAUACCCUUUGGUGGUAAUAUUUUAGGUAGUUCAUCUUCCAUUAUUUGAGCGUCCUCCUUCAGCAAAUUGAAUUGUGUGACUGGGCCAUCUACAGCUUGUCUGGCUGCAACUACACCAGCAAAGUAACUACACG